GACGAACGCUGGCGGCGUGCUUAACACAUGCAAGUCGAACGGAAAGGCCCUGCUUUUGUGGGGUGCUCGAGUGGCGAACGUGUGAGUAACACGUGAGUAACCUGCCCUUGACUUUGGGAUAACUUCACGAAACUGGGGCUAAUACCGGAUAGGAGCUCCUGCUGCAUGGUGGGGGUUGGAACGUUUCGGCGGUUGGGGAUGGACUCGCGGCUUAUCAGCUUGUUGGUGGGGUAGUGGCUUACCAAGGCUUUGACGGGUAGCCGGCCUGAGAGGGUGACCGGCCACAUGGGGACUGAGAGACGGCGCAGACUCCUACGGGGGGCAGCAGUGGAGAAUAUUGCACAAUGGGCGGGAGCCUGAUGAAGCAACGCCGGGUGCGGGAUGACGGCCUUCGGGUUGUAAACCGCUUUCGCCUGUGACGAAGCGUGAGUGACGGUAAUGGGUAAAGAAGCACCGGCUAACUACGUG
rnacentral:rRNA from 1 species